UACGGAGGGUGCAAGCGUUACUCGGAAUUACUGGGCGUAAAGCGUGCGCAGGCGGUUUGUUAAGUCUGUUGUGAAAUCCCCGAGCUCAACUUGGGAAUUGCAAUGGAUACUGGCAAGCUGGAGUAUGGUAGAGGAAGGUGGAAUUCCCGGUGUAGCAGUGAAAUGCGUAGAGAUCGGGAGGAACACCAGUGGCGAAGGCGGCCUUCUGGACCAAUACUGACGCUCAUGCACGAAAGCGUGGGGAGCAAACAGG
rnacentral:rRNA from 1 species